UAUCCUAUUUCCUCCACCGAUCCUUUAUUUCCCCUAAACGCGCCGAUCCUCCUCCUCCCCUCUCAUCUUCACACUGCCGUGACCAGCUCCUCCUCACUCGAUCGCCGCCGGUGAAGUCCUCAGCCGGCAACGUGCUAGCGACCUUGAAGCUGCAGCACCGUCUCCUGAUCUUGCCGACGCCGAACCCUUUCCACCCGAUUCCCUUUCUCUUCUCCUCCGCCCCUCUUGCUGUGAUCGCCUCUUCAUCUUGUCUUCAUCGCCGACCAAAAGAGCAGCUGUCCAUUUCGGGAGUCGGCUUGUCACGCCAUCGAUUCACCGCCGGCUAUGGGAGAUUUGGUGAUGACGAGUCGGAUUUCCUCCGCAAGUUGCCAUUUCCGACCACGAGCCUGCAUCAUCCGCUGGCCACUGCUUUGGGGCAUUUAUCGCCAAGGCUAGGGCAGGGCUCGACCUCACUGUCAUGAGCAGCCUCAAGCUCUGGUUUCUUUCCCUAGCCGACGAUGCCUGUUCGAGGGAGGUUAGGACAGCAACACUGAUGGCCAGCAGUAGCAUUCAUCCGAGAGGAGUUUAUGGAAUUGGAUUAAUUCUUGAAGUAGGCAGUGGCUUCGCUUGGCUUCGCUUGGUUUCGCUCUUCACAUCACCGAUGGUUUGUGGCUGACUCCGUCUGAUCCGUAUCAAUUCCUAGCUGCCGAAGAAGAAGAGGAUCCGAGUUGGAUGUGAUCAUCUGGAGUUGUUGAAGACGGUUGACACGCACUAUGUAUUAAGGCG